GGGGGUGGCACAGACAGACUCUCCGUGUCCAAGGGAAGAGGGUGUCAUGGAGCCCCCUCCUGGUUAAAGGCAUCCCUGACAGCUUGAUGAACAAGGCACUCUCCAAGUGGAUUGGGUGCGGAAAGCAAGAAAUGGGGAUCCCCCUCCAAAUUGUGUGGGAAUGAGUUGGGUCCCCGUGGCUGCUAUUGAUUGGUCGCAAUAGAGUGACGCGGACCAAUCAGGAGAAGGAAGGACAUUUGCGGGCCAAUAGGAAGAGAAAAGCAGCUUUGCUGUGUUCCGAAAGCUCCGGUGGCAGCGAUGGUCGAGUGCCGAAGUCGGUGGUUUGACCUCACCACCAGCCGCUCAGCCCAAAUGAUGAGUCAGGCUGCGCCUGUAAAGGUUAUAGCCCUGUCCACCCUGUGAGGCACUUCUGCUGUGUUCUGUAGGGUUGCUGUGUGCCGGGAUCAACUCUGUGAUCAUGGGUUUGGGCUCGUAUUGUUUGUCGCUGGGCCAGCACCACCGCUCCCAGUAGUUUGGGAUGCGGGCUCUUUCAGCGUGUGUCUGGGUCGCAGCCAACUCAGGCGGCCCGUCCUUCAACAGGGUGGCGCUCACUUCAUGCUGUGGGGUUUCCCCCUCCCCUCAUUUCCUGUAACCGACCAAUCAGCAAAGUCCAAGUUGGCUAGAUGGUGCCAAUCCCUUAUACCUUGUACGUGGAGCAACUGCGGUUUGGAAACUACACACGACCUGCCCGAGGUUGUUUUGACUGGAGGUGCCCUACUGUUGGGCACAGCCCCCUUCACCUGGCAUGGCCUUACAGCCCCUGUAUUGGUCCCCUUCCCCUCAAUAAGGCCACUGCUGUUUUCCCAGUAAGUCAGUCCAUUGGUCAACUGCCAGUCCUUGCCUGCCCUGACUUCUCAUCCUUGAAAGCCUCCUCCUCUAGCGCCUGUAACCCCCUGUGCCCUUGCCUUUUCUCUUUACCAUCUGCCUGCUCAUCCUCCCCUUUCUUCUAGCUAGACUUUUAUGUAACCACUGGUGUCCACUUAGACCCUCUGGCUUCAGUCUCCUCUCACGGAGAGGUUGAAUGCCUGCUGGUUGAAUACCUGCUGCCGUUCAGCUCCCCCACACUGUUGACUCCCAUGUCUGGUCUCCACUGGCUUCCCUCUUGCUUCUAAACAAUCCAGUGCCCUGAGUUGUCUGCCUCCACCCGAGCUCCAGAAACUUGUGGGCAUCAUGUCCACUGUCUCCCUCUCCGUCCACCCCACAUCCCAACUGGUCGUUAAUUCACUCGUUCAACUCUUCUAUAAAUAUUUAUAAGGUGGCUCCUGUUGGAGGAACUUCGGAUGGGUCCACAAUCAAAAGAAGAUCUCUAUUCUUGUAGAGCAUUCAUCCUAGUAGGUGUGAGGGAUCAUAAAAUUGUAUGCAAUAUCAGUGGACUGUCAAGUAUGUUGGAUGAUGAUAAGGGGAGAAAGUCAAACAGAAUCAAGGGACUGAGGCGUGGGGGGUGGUCACAGGAGACAGGUCACAGUCUCAGUGAGGGUACUCUGGGUACCCCUACUUGAGAAGCAUCUCUCCAUGGGAAAACAAUACUUUUCAUGGUCUCUGGUUGAUGAGCUUUGCAGGAAGCAUUGACUGAGAUGGGUUUGGGUGGUAUUCCAUGUAAGGCUACCUUUUUCAAAGGGAUGUGACGAUAUUACAAAUAAAGAACGCCUUUUAAAAUCAUUUGACUUUUAUUAGAGGCAAAUGUCAUGGGAAAAUUCUUUGAGCUCUUUUCCUGAAUCUAUAGUUGUGUGUGUGUUUUAAACAAAUAAAACAACUCAAAAAACAAA